rnacentral:rRNA from 1 species
AUUGAACGCUGGCGGCAGGCCUAACACAUGCAAGUCGAACGGUAACAGGAAGCAGCUUGCUGCUUUGCUGACGAGUGGCGGACGGGUGAGUCAUGUCUGGGAAACUGCCUGAUGGAGGGGGAUAACUACUGGAAACGGUAGCUAAUACCGCAUAACGUCGCAAGACCAAAGAGGGGGACCUUCGGGCCUCUUGCCUUCGGAUGUGCCCAGAUGGGAUUAGCUAGUAGGUGGGGUAACGGCUCACCUAGGCGACGAUCCCUAGCUGGUCUGAGAGGAUGACCAGCCACACUGGAACUGAGACACGGUCCAGACUCCUACGGGAGGCAGCAGUGGGGAAUAUUGCACAAUGGGCGCAAGCCUGAUGCAGCCAUGCCGCGUGUAUGAAGAAGGCCUUCGGGUUGUAAAGUACUUUCAGCGGGGAGGAAGGGAGUAAAGUUAAUACCUUUGCUCAUUGACGUUACCCGCAGAAGAAGCACCGGCUAACUCCGUG